GAGAUGGAGUCUCGCUCUGUCACCCAGGCUGGAAUGCAGUGGUGAGAUCUCGGCUCACUGCAACCUCCGCCUCUCGGGUUCAAGCGAUUCUCCUGCCUCAGCCUCCCAAGUAGCUGGGACAACAGGCAUGCACCACCAUGCCUGGCUAAUUUUUGUAUUUUUAGUAGUGACAGGGUUUCACCGCACUGGGCAGGCUGGUCUCGAAUUCCUGACCUCGUGAUCCACCCACCUCUGCCUCCCAAAGUGCUGGGAUUACAGGCAUGAGCCACCGUGCCCAGCCUGCUAUUUGGUUUUCUGUUUCUGCAUUAAUUCACUUAGGAUAAUAGCUUCCAACUGCAUUCAUAUUGCUGCAAAAAAGCAAACAAACAAAAAAAAAACACAAUUUCAUUCUUUUUAUGGCUGCGUAGUAUUCUAUGGUGUAUAUAUACCACAUUUUCUUUAUCCAACCCACUAUUGGUGGGCACCUGAGUUGAUUCCAUGUCUUUGCUAUUGUGAACACUGCUGUGAUAAGCAUAUGAGUGGAGGUGUCCUUAACAUUCUAAUUUUCCCCUUGGGCCUGAGUUUUCUAUCCUAUCAAAUAAAGUAAUCAUACUGAGUUUAUAAGAAUCCUCCAAGAACUGGCAUUUACUUGCUUUUCUCUCUGUGGACAUAUCAAAAAGGGGGUAAUGCAAUGAAGACACAGAAGAUGGGAUGAGCCCACCUCCUUCUGGGUAUUGGGAAGACUUUAUGGAAGCUGUAGCACUGUAGACAGGGGCUAAUGAAGGAUUUUAGCAGAAAACCAAGACAAAGGUGAAUGUUUCUGCAUGAAGAGAGGUGACGUGACAUCUAGAUUCCUAUCCAGAUAUGCAAGUCCAUGAUCCUGGGUUUCUAUGGAUACUUUGGAAGCAAGUAAACCAGAAUCCUUAAACCAAUGCUCCCAGAACUUACUGUGGCUAAGAAGUCAGUGGGUGACAAUUACAUCAUUUCCGUCACUCAACAUCUCCAGCCUCAGUCACACCUGAGUCCCACUCUCAGCAUUGAGAGGCAAAGGGAGGUUGCUUCUUAAGCAUCAAUGAAUUUAACUUGCAGUAUAGGGACCUGGAAUCAGAAAAGCCUCCUGACUGUGGAAUUUAGUUCACUUGACAUUUGGUAAGUGUUUAACAAAUUACUAUGAUAUAAUAAUUACUUGCCUGUAGAAUUUCACUUUCUGGAAACUUAUAAAAAUGAGUGAAGUGUUCACCUGUGUAAAAUGGGGUAGGAGGAGUCGUCCUGUCUGCAGGCUGGGCAGUGGAUCUUUUAUACUCCAGAGCAGGGUUCUUAAAAUGUAAUCCUUGAGCCAGCAGUCUUGUCACCUGGGAAAAUACAAAUUCUCAGCUCCACCCUAGACCUACUGAGUCAGGCUCUCUGAAUUGGCGCCCAGCCAUCUGUUUUAACAAGCCCUCCGAGUGACUCCGAUGCUUGCUCAGGUUUGGGAAUCACUGCUCUAGAGUUCUCUUUACUAUGUACAUUGGUGAAUUAUACUUGAUGCACUCAGAAAAGAAAGGGAGAGAGGGAGGGAAAGAGUGAAAUGGAGAGAUGAGGUGGAGAAGGAGAACUGAAACCACCUUAGCAAAACUGUGACUGAGACAGUGAAAUAGAUCUAACUUAACCAACUCCAUCUUGCUUCUAACCUCCAAGCUGUCCUUGUCCAUAUCUGGGUGUAGGUUGAACUAACUUUGGGAGAAACUUAGCUUAUAGUUUAAAACAAAGAUGAUAACAAUCCUUUCCCAAAGCAGACCUCCAUGCCUGGGGACUAGAAUGCCUUUGUAGGACUAACAUUAGCCACAAAAUUAGAAAUUAUGGUUUAGGAGUCAUGCAGCUAGAAGCUACAAGAUUCUGACCCUCCCUAAACUGCUCCUAAUACCACUGCUUGAGAUAUAUUUUGCAGACCCUUCACUUGAUGGAUCAGCUGGCACCACCCAGAUCACCUGAUUUGUGGCCCCCAGGAACUGACUCAACACAAAAAGACAACUUUGACUCCCUUUGAUUUCACCCCUGACCAGUCAGCACUCCUGGCUCACUGGCUUCCCCCGUCCGCUAAUAGUACUUAAAAACUCUAAUCCCCAGAGUUUUUGGGGAGACUGAUUUGAGUAAUAACAAAAACUCUGGUCUCCUGCACAGCCGACUCUGCGUGAAUUACUCUUUCUCCAUUGCAAUUCCUGUCUUUAUAAAUCAGCCCUGUCUAGGCAGCAGGCAAGGUGAACCCAUUGGAUAGUUACAGAACCUCUUUUCAUAAGGGGUUAUGGGUUAUUUUGUUGAGGGGCAUGAAAUGAUUAAUUAAUCUUUAAAUGUUAUAAGAGAUGGGAAAUAUAGGUAAUUCUGUUGAGGAGCAUUAAAUGAUUACCAAGAUAAAAAUGCAUGGGUAUUUGGGAGAAUGAAUGGAAGUUGGGAACAGAGAUUGACUUAUAAAUGGUUCUCUUGGGAAGCUGAAUGGUUCAUACCAGGGAGACAGGCAUUAUUUUGUAAAAUGCUUAGGCCCGGUCUGGCUACAUUCUUCCUUUCCUUUCCUGAAAUAGAUAAUGAGAUAGUAGAGAAGAGAAGGAUAAAGCAAUUGUUCUUCUUGGUGGGCCCAUCUGAUCUUUAUGAGGAUAAGGGAAAUGUCUUUUCCAAGGCCUGUAGAUUCCAAAGGGUUUUUCAAAAUAUUCAUUAUACCAGGUAGCCAUAUUUGGGGGUGAAAUUCUCUAUGCUCCUUCAAGUCAAUCUUUGUCAAUUAAAUAUUUGAAAAUAAAAAUUUUUAAGAGAUUCUAUCACAACAGGUCUUUGUGGGUCUUGCCUCAGAAGCUGAGCCUGUUUCUUUGCAAACCCCUUGCUGGCUUUGCCCACAGCUGUGGUUCACUCUUGUUUCUACUGUAUUUUGUUUCUUUGCUCCCAAUGCAGUGAACCUGCCUCCCUGUCCAGUGACACCACCUUAAUUGAGGUCACCAUCAUUCUCUCACCUGGGUUAUUUCUAAAACCCUCUAACAGUUUUCCACUCCAACUCGACCUCUCUGUGUUUCUACCAGUGAUCUUUCCACAUGCAAAGGUGAUGGUGUCAUUGCCUGCUUAAAGCCCUGCAGAGCUUCCCACUCUUCCCACGAUUGAGCCCAGACUCCUCACUGGCUGUGCAAAGACCUCCUGGCUCUGCUUGCUCUGGGAACAUGUCUCUCCAAGCCUUGUGCUCCAUCCACUAGACAGGAUCUCACAACAUUGUCCAGGGUGGACUCGAACUCCCAGGCUCAAGUGAUCCUCCUGCCUCAGCCUCUCAAGAAGUUGGAACUACGGGUUCAUGAUGCCAUGCCCUGCUAAUCAACUUAUUUAUCUGGGCAAUGAAAUGUGUAAAACAACUGCAUCUACCUUAUGACUGCAUAUGAAUUUCAGACGCAUAUGACUAUCCAAGUCCACACAAGCCACAAACACAUGCCAACAGCUAGUUAUCCAAGGGUAAAUUUCACAACCAGGAAACUGUUUGCUAACAACAUGGAAACCACAGUUACAGUUGAAAUAAAUGCUAACGUUGAGUCUCAA